rnacentral:rRNA from 1 species
GAUGAACGCUGGCGGCGUGCCUAAUACAUGCAAGUCGAGCGAACAGACGAGGAGCUUGCUCCUCUGACGUUAGCGGCGGACGGGUGAGUAACACGUGGAUAACCUACCUAUAAGACUGGGAUAACUUCGGGAAACCGGAGCUAAUACCGGAUAAUAUAUUGAACCGCAUGGUUCAAUAGUGAAAGACGGUUUUGCUGUCACUUAUAGAUGGAUCCGCGCCGCAUUAGCUAGUUGGUAAGGUAACGGCUUACCAAGGCAACGAUGCGUAGCCGACGUGAGAGGGUGAUCGGCCACACUGGAACUGAGACGCGGUCCAGACUCCUACGGGAGGCAGCAGUAGGGAAUCUUCCGCAAUGGGCGAAAGCCUGACGGAGCAACGCCGCGUGAGUGAUGAAGGUCUUCGGAUCGUAAAACUCUGUUAUUAGGGAAGAACAAAUGUGUAAGUAACUAUGCACGUCUUGACGGUACCUAAUCAGAAAGCCACGGCUAACUACGUG